UUCUUUUUUUGCUCUCAGCACUCUUUAAUUUCCCACCAUUGCGAAAAAGGUAGGGCAGUCUCAUGACAGAGAGGAAAAUGAUAAGAAAUUUCCCAUAAAGUGAAAAAGGUGAAGUCUUGCUCUUUAUUAAGCACUAGUAUUCUCACCAUAUACACAAAGCUGAGAAUUUGCCUGUUAGGCUUUACCAAUAUUCUUCAACAAUGUCUUACGCUUAGUCUUCCAAGGUUUGCAAAUAAGAUGUCUUUUUGAGUUUUAGAGGUGAAAUACACGUAGAACCUUUGUGAGUCAUCUUUAUAAUGCUCUAGAACAUAGAUGUAUCCAUGCUUUCAAAGAGGAUGAGCGGUUGGAAAGGGGAAAAUCAAUUUUUGGUGAACUUUUAAAAGCCAUAGAAGAGGCCAGAUUCGCGAUCACGAUAUUUUCAAAAAGCUAUGCAUCCUCAAGAUGGUGCUUAGAGGAGCUUGCACACAUCAUAAAGUGCAAAAAUGAACUGGAACAGAUUGUGAUUCCUGUCUUCUAUGAUAUGAGUCCAUCAGAUGUGUGUCAUCAAAAUUCCCCUUUCGCUGAGUCAUUUUCCCAAUAUGAGGAAAAAUGCAAAGAUGAUAUGGAGAAGGUUCAAAGAUGGAGGGAUGCAUUUGCGGAAGCUGGGAAAAUAUCAGGGUGUCAUUUACAAAAUUUCAAGAUGAGGCAGAUUGCAUCAAGAACCUAGUUGAUGACAUAUUUCCUGAGUCGCUUCAAAUUAUUUCACCCUUUCCGGAAAGCUUGGUGGGAAUGAAAUCUCUGGUUGAGAAAGUACCCUCAUUAUUAGACAUGGAAUCAAACGAUGUCCUCUCUAUUGUGAUUUGAGGUAUGGGUGGCAUCGGCAAGACAGAAAUUGCAAGUGUUCUAUAUCAAAGAUACCGUCAUCGAUUUGAAGCUGAUUGUUUUCUUGGUGGUGUUGGAACGUUGUAUCUAAAAAAUGGACUAACAUGGCUAGCAGAAGUCGUCAUUUGCAAGCUCUUAGAUAACAGAAAAGGUGGAAAGCCUAUUUAUCCCAAAAGAAUACGGUUUUGAAAAUGAUCCUGUCAAUUAUUGCAAUAAUUUCAAGAGGAUGAAAAGCUUACAAGUACUCGUAAUUGGUGAUAGAGCUUUUAGCUAGGACUGCGGUAUCACUUAUCUUCCUUCCAGCUUGCGGUUUAUUGAGCGGCAGGGGUAUCCUUCAAGUUCAUUGCCAGAGAGAUUUGAACCAUCCCAGCUCAUUGUGCUUCAUUUAUAUAAAAGUCAGCUUGUUGAACUCUGGCCAAUAUAAAAGAAAUUGAGCUACUUGAAGCAUUUGGAUCUCUGAUUCAGCCUUUGGUUAACAGAAACCCCUAACUUUGGUGAUAUGCUGAACUUGGAGACACUAAAUUUAUGGGGGUGUGAGAAUUUGGAAGAGGUUCAUCCCUCUCUUGGACAUUGCAGAAUUCUUACUUCUUUGAUUUUGACAGGUUGUGUCAAACUUAAGAAACUUAAGAAGCUUCUAAAAUUUGUUUCCAUGCGAUCUCUUGAGACUCUCAACCUUGACCAUGCACAAGUUUAUUAAAAUUUCCAAAACUCUAUGGAGAUAUGCGGCACUUAUCAACACUGAAGGUAGGAUCCCCUUGGAUAAGAAGCAAGCUUACCCUCAUCUCUCAGCAGCCUGAGCCAUUUGUAUUUGGAAGAAUGUGAAGUUCUUGAAAGUAUCUCGGAUCUCACUAUUCAAAAUCUUAGAGUCCUGGAGAUUUUCCUUUGCAAUAAACUUGCAACGCUGCCAAACAGCCUCGUUGAAUCAGAGCAAUUGGAGUAAGUUAAUAUUGGUCAUUAGUUCUUGAUUGGUAGAGCUCCUCAUAUCUAUUGGAGUUCAAAAGAAGCUUCAUUAUUUAAGCUUAUACCAAUUUGAUAACUUAAAGAAGCUUCCAAUCUCUAUUCAGAUGGAAUCCUAUGUAGAACUCGAGAUAUCUAAUUGCCUAAAAUUAGAUAUAUUUCCAUAAAUCAAUGGAGAUAUGCGUCGCUUGGAAGACUGCUCCUAAGAUCUACUGGGAUUAGAGAACUGCCUUCGUCCAUUGGGAAUCUGAGUGGCCUCAUUGAGCUCUAUUUGAAAGGUUGUGAAGAUCUUGUAAGUCUACAGAACAGCAUCUGUAAUUUGAUGAAUCUUCAAAAUCUUUUCAUCUGCGGAUGCAAAAAGCUAGAGAAGCUUCCAGAAAACAUUGGUGAUCUGCAAGAGUUAGAGACACUUGAUGCAAGUGAAACUGCAAUCUCCCAACCACCUCCCUCCAUCACCAAGCUCGGAAAACUGAGGGAGUUAAGAUUCUCACAUGUUUUACACCAUCUGCAGCAUUCCUCAACUUCUGUUUUCCGUUAACUAUCAGCUUUAUCCUACUUAAAUCGCCUUCAUCUUAGUAAUUGGGUGUAGUUCUUGAGGAUUUAGGAUCUUUGCAGUCUUUAAAACAUUUGGAUGUUAGUGGAAGAAAUAUUUCUUGUACUUGCAUAAAAUCACUUAGCGCCUGUUUUCAAGUAAAACAAGUUGAUCAUAGUGGAACACCUUGCUUAAAGGGAGAUUGGAUGUAGGUCUUGCUGAACCAGUAUAAAAUUCUGAGUUUGAACAGCUCACUUUCUCUA